UUAACACUUCACAACUGAACACAAACACACAAAACAUCAACAAUGACCUUCAUCAUCAGCUUCAUCUGGACACUUUUAUUCUCUAUACAAGGGUGUAAAUCACAGAUCACAGUAACUCAAAGUCCUUCAGUGAAAACUGCUGCACCAGGUGAAUCUGUUACUCUGAACUGUAGAUUCAGUUCACCUCCAGCCUGUAGCCCACCCUGUGUGUCCUGGUACUUACAGAAACCUGGAGAAGCUCCUAAACUCCUGAUAUAUCUGACCAACACCCUUCAGUCUGGAACUCCAUCUAGAUUCAGUGGCAGUGGAUCAAACACAGAUUUCACUCUGAGCAUCAGUGGAGUCAAGACUGAAGAUGCAGGACAUUAUUACUGUCAGAGUGUACACUAUAUCAACAGUAAAUAUGUGUUCACACAGUGAUAAAGAGUCGUACAAAAACCUCCAUCAGUCAGACUGACACUGAUACACUUGACUGAUUCUGCUGCUGCACACACACUAUUACAAGCUAAACAUUAAAGCAGCACAGAAAUUCUAACAUUGUUUAACAUGCUUUACACAAUACAUAUUGUUUAAACAGUAUUUCAGAGAAUUAUUGCCUCAGUGUCUUAAAGUCCCAGUGAGCAGC